AGCCUAUCCAGCUACAGAAUUAAGUCAUAUAUGGGCUAACCCACUGCUGAAGUUAGAAUCCUCACAGUCCUGUCACAGAUAAAGUCCUGGUCUAUAUCGAUGGUCAACUUGACAGGAUCCAAAACCACCUUGGAGACAAAUCUCUGGGCAUGACGAUGAAGAAGUUACUAGAUUAGAUUAACUGGGGUGGGAAGAGUCACUCUCGUCUAUGGAAGACACUUUUUCUGGCCUGCUA